rnacentral:tRNA from 1 species
GGCUGCCUGGCGAAAUGGUAUCGCGUCACUUUCCGGUUAAUUCCCUGGAACAUGGUGAAGAUUGCGGGUUCGAGUCCCGUGGUGGUCG